GCUUUCGAGGUGCAUGGGUCAGCACACUCGGCCGGUAUUCGAGAGGUUCGUGGUUCGAGUCCCGGCGAGGCCA
rnacentral:tRNA from 1 species